GGUUUGAAGUUAUGGCUCAGAUUGAACGCUGGCGGGAUGCUUCGCAUGCAAGUCGAACGGCAGCACGGACUUCGGUCUGGUGGCGAGUGGCGAACGGGUGAGUAAUGUAUCGGAACGUGCUGCCUAGUAGCGAAUAACUACGCGAAAGCGUAGCUAAUACCGCAUACGCCCUUCCAGGAAAGCGGAGGACCUUCGGGCCUCGCACUAUUAGAGCAGCCGAUAUCGGAUUAGCUAGUUGGUGGAGUAACGGCUCACCAAGGCGACGAUCCGUAGCUGGUUUGAAGGACGACCAGCCACACUGGGACUGAGACACGGCCCAGACUCCUACAGGAGGCAGCAGUGGGGAAUUUUGGACAAUGGAAACCCCUGAGCAAGCCAUCCCGCGUGUGCGAUGAAGGCCUUCGGGUUGUAAAGCACUUUUGGCAGGAAAGAAACGGCACGGGAUAUGCCCGUGCAACUGACGGCUGCCUGCAGAAUAAGCACCGGCUAACUACGUGCGUAUGCGGUAAUACGUGGUGCAAGCGUUAAUCGAUUUUAGGCGUAAAGCGUGCGCAGGCGGUUCGGAAAGAAGAUGUGAAAUCCCAGAGCUUAACUUUGGAACUGCAUUUUUAACUACCGAGCUAGAGUGUGUCAGAGGAGGUGGAAUUCCGCAGCAGUGAAAUGCGUAGAUAUGCGGAGGAACACCGAUGGCGAAGGCAGCCUCCUGGGAUAACACUGACGCUCAUGCACAGCGUGGGGAAUAAACAGGAUUGAUACCCUGGUAGUCCACGCCCUAAACGAUGUCAACUAGCUGUUGGGGCCUUCGGGCCUUGGUAGCGCAGCUAACGCGUGAAGUUGACCGCCUGCAGAGUGCGGUCGCAAGAUGCAAAACUCAAGGAAUUGACGAGGACCCGCACAAGCGGUGGAUGAUGUGGAUUAAUUCGAUGCAACGCGAAAAACCUUACCUACUGACAUGUCUGGAAUCCCGAAAGAGAUUUAGGAGUGCUCGCAAGAGAACCGGAACACAGGUGCUGCAUGGCUGUCGUCAGCUCGUGUCGUGAGAUGUUGGGUUAAGUCCCGCAACGAAGCUGCAGCACUUGUCAUUGGUUGCUACGAAAGGGCGCUCAAUGAGACUGCCGGUGACAAACCGGAGGAGGUGGGGAUGACGUCAGGGCCUCAUGGCCCUUAUGGGUAGGGCUUCACACGUCAUACAAUGGUCGGGACGGGGGUCGCCAACCCGCGAGAGGCCAAUCCCAGAAACCCGAUCGUAGUCCGGAUCGCAGUCUGCAGCUCGACUGCGUGAAGUCAGAAUAUUAGUAAUCGCGGAUCAGCAUGUCGCGGUGAAUACGUUCCGGGUCUUGUACACCGCCCGUCACACCAUGGGGAGUGGGUUUUACCAGAAGUAGUUAGCCUAACCGUAAGGAGGCGAUUACCACGGUAGGAUUCAUGACUGGGUAAAGUCGUAACAAGGUAAGCUCUGUACUGAUGCUCCCAAACUU
rnacentral:rRNA from 1 species